AAAAAUAAUCCACAUAAAUUCUGUAUGUAACUGUUACAACAAUGCAUUUGGGAUGUAUUGGAGAAUCAGUCAGCAGAGGGUGUAAGUGGUGUAUGCACCUGUGCACGCACAUGUGUGAGGAGUAGGGCUCUGGCUAAAUGACUGAAGAUAUUCCCCAGAAGGAUACUUAUUACAGAGCCAGUAUACACUGACUCCACUAGAGUGUGGUAGGCAUUUAAAUGAAGUUAUUUUUCAAAAAUCUGAUACAAUUGCUCUUUCACACUGGGUCACUGAACUGUAGCUCAUGAGCCCCCGAAGACUGAAAAGUAAGCAUUGGGAUGCAAAGUAUUAGUAGUCAGCAGCUCAGUCCCUCUAGCAGUGAAGGAACCAGAAGCAGCUGAAGAAAUCACUUUAUGAAGAGAAAAGCAGGAUGCUUGUGGUGGCUGUGGCUUGGCAAAGGUUGGGACAGGAGCGAGAUCUCCAAUUCCCUUGGCACUGACAAGAGAAACACCCAAAAGAAGGUGGCAGCCAAAGAGGAAGAAUCCCUGGCCUGUCCUUGGGCCCUCAAAUCAGAGACAGAUAUUUGGAAGAGUGCUCAUUGUCAUAGGCCAAAACUCUGCCAAGAGGAACUGACAUUCAACAGUCUGAUCAACAGUAAACUGGUAACUGAAUUAGUCCCUAGGCCCUGCUCAUUCUUCC
rnacentral:lncRNA from 1 species